rnacentral:rRNA from 1 species
CCCUUAGAUGUUCUGGGCCGCACGCGUGCUACACUGAGUGGAUCAGCGGGUCAGGUUGCGCGAAAGCGUUUCCUAAUCUUUAAAUCCGCUCGUGAUGGGGAUUGACGGUUGCAAUUUUCUGUCAUGAACGAGGAAUACCUUGUAAGCGCGGGUCAUCAUCCCGCGCUGAAUACGUCCCUGCCCUUUGUACACACCGCCCGUCGCUCCUACCGAUUGAGUGGUCCGGUGAGGCUUUGGGAUCUGAGCGGAAAGAGCGUUUCGCUGUUUCUGCUCGGAAAACUCAGUCGAACCUUAUCAUUUAGAGGAAGGAGAANUCGUAACA